UCUCUCUCUCCUCCCCCCCCCCUUCCUUUCUCUCUCUCUCCUGUCAAUAACAAAUCUUCACGUCUUUGUCUCGGCUUCCAAUUCCGGCGAACACCAGCACGGCGCUAUUGGACCUUGCACCACCAUCGUCACCUUCAAAUUCCAGAAAAAAAUUACAGAUCGAAUGAAAAUGAGAGAGGAGCAGGAAGCUCGUCGGCGGCCGUUUGAUCGCUGCUUGAUGAUUGUGAUCGGAAAGGUGAGAGGAGGAUCGCGACGAUGAUGAAGGUGCACGGCGAGGCGAGGCAAGACAGCUCAGGCAUCGACGACAUCAUCUAGGGCUCAGUUUGGUGUCGACUCCUUUAAGCCUCUUGAUUUUCAAGCCACCUGAUUCUCAUGAAGGGCGCGGUUUGGCCACUAUAUCUCUGUAGCAACAGCUCCGACGCGUCUCAUGCCUCCACCGCGUAUCAAAGAGUUCUUUCCCUUUGCAUUUGUAGUAGUAGAUUUUGAAAAUCAUGUGAAUUUGGAUAUUGAAGCCUAUAUUGACCAAGAGAUCAUUCGGCCAACUAAAAAUUUUGGAAAUGAAGGCUCGUGCUGAAGGUGGCAAAUGAUGCAUAUGGGUCUAGAGCGUCACCAUUGAAAAAUGACAGUAGCAUUACAACAUUGACAAUAGCUUUAUACAACUAUUGUAAUAGAUUUUCACAACUAUAGUAGUGGCUUUUUACAAGUAUGGAAGUAGCUUUUUAUAUAGUUACAUUAUUAUUGAACC